rnacentral:rRNA from 1 species
UACGGAGGGUGCGAGCGUUGUCCGGAAUCACUGGGCGUAAAGGGCGCGUAGGCGGCCUGAUAAGUAGGGGGGGAAAUCCUGGAGCUCAACUCCAGAACUGCCUUCGAUACUGGAGAGCUUGAGUCCGGGAGAGGUGAGUGGAACUGCGAGUGUAGAGGUGAAAUUCGUAGAUAUUCGCAAGAACACCAGUGGCGAAGGCGGCUCACUGGCCCGGUACUGACGCUGAGGUGCGAAAGCGUGGGGAGCAAACAGG